GAUCAUGGCUCAGGACGAACGCUGGCGGCGUGCUUAACACAUGCAAGUCGAACGGAGCACCCUUGAUUGAGGUUUCGGCCAAAUGAUAGGAAUGCUUAGUGGCGGACUGGUGAGUAACGCGUGAGGAACCUGCCUCUCAGAGGGGGACAACAGUUGGAAACGACUGCUAAUACCGCAUGACACAUUGGAAGGGCAUCCUUCUGAUGUCAAAGAUUUAU
rnacentral:rRNA from 1 species